rnacentral:rRNA from 1 species
UACGGGGGGGGGCAAGCGUUGUUCGGAAUUACUGGGCGUAAAGGGCUCGUAGGUGGCCAACUAAGUCAGACGUGAAAUCCCUCGGCUUAACCGGGGAACUGCGUCUGAUACUGGAUGGCUUGAGAUUGGGAGAGGGAUGCGGAAUUCCAGGUGUAGCGGUGAAAUGCGUAGAUAUCUGGAGGAACACCGGUGGCGAAGGCGGCAUCCUGGACCAACACUGACACUGAGGAGCGAAAGCCAGGGGAGCAAAACGGG